UACGAAGGGGGCUAGCGUUGUUCGGAUUUACUGGGCGUAAAGCGCACGUAGGCGGAUCCUUAAGUCAGGGGUGAAAUCCCGGGGCUCAACCUCGGAACUGCCUUUGAUACUGGGGAUCUCGAGUCCGGGAGAGGUGAGCGGAACUGCGAGUGUAGAGGUGAAAUUCGUAGAUAUUCGCAAGAACACCAGUGGCGAAGGCGGCUCACUGGCCCGAUACUGACGCUGAGGCACGAAAGCGUGGGGAGCAAACGGG
rnacentral:rRNA from 1 species